CGCGGUUUGUGACACAUGUGGCAAGACCGCAAACCUUGUCAAACAGAAACAAAAGUAAAUUAUAACACAGAGUAUGAUGAUGAGUUUAUGAUGAGGCAAACUGAAGAGGAGGAGAGGGACAGGUGCUGCUGGGGCGAGACAAACAUAGCUCGCGGAGUCCUUUGGUGCUGCAGGCAGGCACUAUACAGUCUCAGAGGGAGGCAGCUGCUGGGAACAACAAAGAAAAAUGGAGUUCCUAUUGAAGUUAUCUUCUCUGCGUCCUCUCCUGACACGUCGAGCUGAUAUUCCCCACCGGGGUCGUUUAAGUCUGAACUCGUCUGACCGAACAGAAUCUGCAGCCCAGCUAAGGAAACAAGUCAGUCGCCUGCCUUAACUGCUGUCAUCUUUCCUCAUCUCGUGACACCUCAGUGACACCCAGAGUGGCGCUCGGAGUCGCCUCCACCAACAUCCACCUUUCAAUCACACUUUCAAUUGCAAUUGCCUAAUUCUGUGCUGGGAUUUCAGUCCACGGCGAGGAUAUGAGAUUUGUCAAGCACGAGCCCGGGGAAGAACCUGCAUCGCAUAACGCGUAGACGUGCACCAUUUCCUCAGCAUGUGAACUGCAAUUCAUUUUAUAAAUGUCAGAUGAAGCCUGGCAAGCCAUCCACCCACCCACACACACACACACACACACACACACAAAUAGCGUGGUGGGUAAUAUUCUUAUUAGAGAUCAUUUUGAUUGGCUUCCGCUGCCCUUUUCAUUGUGUGAGCGACAGUGAAGGGAGAGAUGAUGAAGUGUGUGCCUAAAUGUCUGUGUGUGCACACUAUGCAUAUAUGUAUAUAUAUAUAUGUGUGUGUUUGUGUGUGUAUGUGUGUGUGUGUGCGUGCAUGUGUCAGAUGUUGAGGGUUUGAGGGUUUAUGUAAGCAGAGAUUAAAAAUGCAAUAAACCUGCC
ensembl:lncRNA